rnacentral:rRNA from 1 species
AGAUUGAACGCUGGCGGCAGGCCUAACACAUGCAAGUCGAGCGGCAGCACGGAUACUUGUACCUGGUGGCGAGCGGCGGACGGGUGAGUAAUGCCUAGGAAUCUGCCUGGUAGUGGGGGAUAACGCUCGGAAACGGACGCUAAUACCGCAUACGCCCUUCGGGGGAAAGCCGGGGAUCGCAAGACCUGGCGCGGAUAGAUGAGCCGAUGUCGGAUUAGCUAGUUGGUGAGGUAAUGGCUCACCAAGGCGACGAUCCGUAGCUGGUCUGAGAGGAUGAUCGAGCCACACUGGAACUGAGACGACGGUCCAAGACCUUCCGAGGGACGCAGGCAAGGUAGGGAAUUAGUGGAACAGGUGGGACGACG